rnacentral:rRNA from 1 species
CAAAGGCUUCGGCCGGUAAAGGAUGGGGAUGCGUCUGAUUAGCUUGCCGGCGGGGUAACGGCCCACCGGGGCGACGAUCAGUAGGGGUUCUGAGAGGAAGGUCCCCCACAUUGGAACUGAGACACGGUCCAAACUCCUACGGGAGGCAGCAGUGAGGAAUAUUGGUCAAUGGGCGCGAGCCUGAACCAGCCAAGUAGCGUGCAGGACGACGGCCCUAUGGGUUGUAAACUGCUUUUAUACGGGGAUAAAGUAUGCCACGUGUGGUUUAUUGCAGGUACCGUAUGAAUAAGGACCGGCUAAUUCCGUGCCAGCAGCCGCGGUAAUACGGAAGGUCCGGGCGUUAUCCGGAUUUAUUGGGUUUAAAGGGAGCGUAGGCCGGGUUUUAAGCGUGCCGUGAAAUGUCGGGGCUCAACCUUGACACUGCGGCGCGAACUGGAGUCCUUGAGUGCGCGGAACGUAUGCGGAAUUCGUGGUGUAGCGGUGAAAUGCUUAGAUAUCACGAAGAACCCCGAUUGCGAAGGCAGCAUACGGCAGCGCUACUGACGCUGAAGCUCGAAGGCGCGGGUAUCGAACAGGAUUAGAUACCCUGGUAGUCCGCGCGGUAAACGAUGGAUGCCCGCUGUUGGCGAUAUA